rnacentral:rRNA from 1 species
GACGAACCGUGCAAACGUUAUUCGGAUUCACUGGGCUUAAAGGGCGCGUAGGCGGGCCACCAAGUCAGGGGUGAAAUCUUUCGGCUCAACCGGAAAAGUGCCUUUGAUACUGGUGGCCUCGAGGGAGGUAGGGGCAUGCGGAACUUCCGGUGGAGCGGUGAAAUGCGUAGAUAUCGUAAGGAAGACCAGUGGCGAAGGCGGGUCUCUGGACAGUUCCUGACGCUGAGGCACGAAGGUCAGGGGAGCAAACGGG